UGCUUCGGCUCGAGGCCCAUAAGAAUACAGUCAACUUGACUUGGCUAUCUCCCGUUGUGUCGACGUGUAAUCGCCGCCAUGGCGAAGAAGACGAUUGGGAACAGUUUUGCCGCCAUGGAAGCAGCUUCUUGCGAUAGGGGCCAUUUCUCACCUCUACCUCUCCUCUUACAUCCAGCUCGGAUUUGAAGCGAAGAGUGACACGAUUCGAUUCAAUGCUGAUAUUCGCAGUCGAACCACGAAGGUCAUUUAGGUCCUUCCAGUGAUCCAGUCAUUGGAUACUACCGGCUGCUUAAGGAUCCAGAUAAGUGUCCACCACUUUGAUUGAGACCUUGCUUGAUCUUGACCAGAAAAUGGCAACAGGCAAAUGGAAGUGUCCAUCCUAUUACCCUCACUUGUGACAAAAGAAUCUUCUUAUGAAAACAAUUCAUGUCAGCGUUUGUUAAACUUCAAUGCAGUUAGCACUUCGGCAGAUCUGCAGGAGGCUGAGAACCAGACCCCUGCUCGUUAGACGGAAAGGAAAGUAUCAGCAAUAUGGCAUACGAUGAUGAUGGCACUGAUUAUGGAAUGAAUGAGUACCUGGAUUAUCUGCAACGAACCUGAUUGCAGCCCAUCCUCCUACUGGAACUCCAAUGGUGUUCAUCUUGUGUGUCGUUGGGAAUGUUAUUGGGUGCCCCAUUGACAAAGUCAGAGAAUUUUUCUGGCACUCCUGGAAAAUCUGUGGUGAAGUAUCC